UACGGAGGGUGCAAGCGUUGUCCGGAAUCACUGGGCGUAAAGGGCGCGUAGGCGGCUCAUGAAGGCUGUGGUGAAAGUCCGGGGCUCAACCUCGGAUCGGCCGUGGCGACUCGUGGGCUGGAGCACUGUAGAGGCGGGUGGAAUUCCGGGUGUAGCGGUGGAAUGCGUAGAGAUCCGGAAGAACACCAGUGGCGAAGGCGGCCCGCUGGGCAGUGGCUGACGCUGGGGCGCGACAGCGUGGGGAGCAAACAGG
rnacentral:rRNA from 1 species